rnacentral:rRNA from 1 species
UGGGGGAUAUUGCACAAUGGGGGGAACCCUGAUGCAGCGACGCCGCGUGAGUGAAGGAGUGAUUCGUCACGUAAAGCUCUAUCAGCAGGGAAGAAAUACUGGCCGUACGGCCAGCAGACGGUACCUGACUAAGAAGCCCCGGCUAACUACGUGCCAGCAGCCGCGGUAAUACGUAGGGGGCAAGCGUUAUCCGGAUUUACUGGGUGUAAAGGGAGCGUAGACGGUGCGCCAAGUCUGGAGUGAAAUCCCGCAGCUCAACUGCGGGGCUGCUCUGGAAACUGGCGUGCUAGAGUGCGGGAGGGGUGGGCGGAAUUCCUAGUGUAGCGGUGAAAUGCGUAGAUAUUAGGAGGAACACCGGUGGCGAAGGCGGCCCACUGGACCGUGACUGACGUUGAGGCUCGAAAGCGUGGGGAGCAAACAGG